GAAUUUAGGGCAAUGGGGGCCACCCUGAUCCAGCCAUCCCGCGUGUGCGAUGAAGGCCUUCGGGUUGUAAAGCACUUUUAGCCGGGAAGAAAAGGCCCUGGCUAAUACCUGCAGCUGCUGACGGUACCUGCAGAAUAAGCACCGCCUAACUACGUGCCCUGAGCCGCGGUAAUACGUAGGGUGCAAGCGUUAAUCGGAAUUACUGGGCGUAAAGCGUGCGCAGGCGGUUCGGCAAGAAGGAUGUGAAAUCCCAGGGCUUAACCUUGGAACUGCAUUCUUAACUGCCGGGCUAGAGUAUGUCAGAGGGGGGUAGAAUUCCGCGUGUAGCUGUGAAAUGCGUAGCGAUGCGGAGGAAUACCGAUGGCGAAGGCAGCCCCCUGGGAUAAUACUGACGCUCAUGCACGAAAGCGUGGGGAGCAAAC
rnacentral:rRNA from 1 species